rnacentral:sRNA from 1 species
UUGAAAGCCCCAAGGAGUCCUAUUAAUUCCCAGAGCGUAACAGUUCAGGUAGAAGCAGGGCAAACAUCCCCCCACUGCACCCUGCUAGUGUGUCUCUAUAUCGUCAUGGAGGGACCACUUCUAGGGAUGAGAGGGUUGUUCAGUCUCCUGGCCCACUCAGGCCUUUAGUGAG